rnacentral:rRNA from 1 species
AACGAACGCUGGCGGCAGGCCUAACACAUGCAAGUCGAGCGAGGACUUCGGUCCUAGCGGCGGACGGGUGAGUAACGCGUGGGAACGUGCCCUUUGCUUCGGAAUAGCCCUGGGAAACUGGGAGUAAUACCGGAUGAGCCCUUUGGGGGCAAGAUUUAUCGGCGAAGGAUCGGCCCGCGUUGGAUUAGGUAGUUGGUGGGGUAAUGGCCUACCAAGCCGACGAUCCAUAGCUGGUUUGAGAGGAUGAUCAGCCACACUGGGACUGAGACACGGCCCAGACUCCUACGAGAGGCAGCAGUGGGGAAUCUUAGACAAUGGGGGAAACCAUGAUCUAGCCAUGCCGCGUGAGCGAUGAAGGCCUGAGGGUUGUAAAGCUCUUUCAGCUGGGAAGAUAAUGACGGUACCAGCAGAAGAAGCCCCGGCUAACUCCGUG